CCUGCGCGAUAUGAGCACUGCUCAGGACUGCAGCUGUUGGGCACCAGCAGCCAGGUCUGCAGGCUCCGCGAAGCCUGGCCCGGACCGUAGCUUCUGCAAGCAGUCCAGGUGUAUCCUGGGGUCACUGGAGGGCAGAGCCUGCUCAGAGCGAGUACAGAAGCAGCCCAAGUCUUCCCAGCACCAGGUUCACUGGAAGUGCCAGGUGUGGGAGAGGGAGCUGGGGAGGGAAGAGGGCUAUGCUGGUUCCCGAGCUGAAUGAUGUACCCAAGAGACCAGGUAGCUGCAGCAGGUACUAAGGCCACCACCUCCUUCAUGCUCCUCUCUGAUCACCUCUCCAAGUCCUGGUGUCAGGAGCCUUCUCUGUGGCCGCCCUGGAGAGACUUGAGCCUGGGACGUGACGUGCUGGGCUGUGAAGCUUUCUGAGAAGGGAAACCUGUGGCCUGACCUGCCUGGAUGCUGCACCCAACCUCAUCUCUUCCUGGGAGGCAGGCUCUCUUCGCUUGUUUUUACAAAUUUGAAACCAACAACUGUCAGCAUUAACACCAUCAGGCAUUUCUCUUCUAAUGUGGCCUUGCAGCCGACCACACGGCUAUCUGUGCAGGAUCUCUCCCCAAGCUCAAGGACAUGAGAUGCGGAUCAGGCCCAAGAGGCUGGAUGCCAAACCUAUCCUCUCCAUGUGAAGCCCCAACUUGGGGGUGUCAACUAAAAAUAUGAGACCCGUAAACUUGGAAAGGAGGACUUUAUUUCUUCAGAAGGGUUGCAAACUGCAGGCUGGGAAGUGGCACCUCCAGCUGAGACCACAAACAGUGGACUUUCUCAAACUGGGGUAUUGACCUCUGAUGAACCGCCAUCCAAACCCGUGCCUUUCAACAUAAAAAGAAGCCCUUCGAGGUGCUCACCUUCAAGCUUGCUAGAGGAGGAGGAAGAGCAGGUUGAGUUUGACAUAAUUAGAAUGGGUUGAGCCUUUCCAGCAGAGUAAGGUUCUUUCAUGGUGGACAGUGGCCACCCACUGCCAUUUCUACAAGAAGAUUGUGCUUCUUAGGCACUGAGUUCCUGGUUCUUUCACUAGAGAAAAAUGAGUAGGUUGGCAAUCCAGUACUUCCAUCUUCUGUGAAGACCUGGGCAGGCGAUGGAGGCUUGGGGGCGGGGGCAGGGACCAAAGACAAGGCUGCCAUUUGCUGUGCCCACCACAGAGGGACAUUUACUCCACCUGAAGCACAAGUAUUUUCUCAGUGAUGUUGGCUCCUACAAAGUCAAAAGGGGUAGGCUCCCUGGCUUACGCUCCAGGAGUUUGGACUGAAAGGGACACUAAAAGUGUCUUCCUCUAAGUUUAUGAUGUUGCCCUCCUCUGGCUACAACAGUGCUCUGGCCAUAAGCAUCCCAGGUUCUCUGAAUGAUGGUGGGUAUGGAAACGUUCCCAAACACAGGUAUGGUGGUGUCCGCUCCCACUGUACCAAUCUAUGCCCAGGGCUGGAAGGUCCGUGGUGCUCUGAACUGGAUUCAUAAACAGUAGCAUCUCCAACCACAAGCGUGGUGUCAGCCCCUCCAACAGUAGCACAUGUGCUCCCGUGGGUGCCUGAUAGAAAGUGGGAACAUGUGUUUAUUAGCCAGGUGGGCCCCAAAUGCUCUGAUGAGGUGCAGAAAGAGGACUCUUUGUCACAGUUGCAACACAUGUGCUCUGAACAGGUGGAGCCCAGGUGCUUUGCAUGUAGGUGGACACAAGAGGGCCUCUAAGCACAGGUGUGGUGUUGGAACCCUCAAGGCUACCAAUGCAUUCUGGCCAGGUGUGUCCCAGGUGGUCUGACUAUAGACAGCAACAGAAUUAUCUCCAGCACCGUUAUAGAGAUACCCGUCCAACUGAUGCGCUCUAGCAGGAUGGGACCCGGGUGAUCCGAACACAAGGAGGAACAGAAGUUUAUACUGAUACAUGCUCCUUCUUAGCGAUGUUAUCUCCUUCAAUAGUAACAGGUAUGCUUUGGCUGGGUGGGCCUCAGUCACUCUGUAGCCAGGAAGGAAAGGGCUCCCAAAACAGAUUUCUGCUCCGUAUAGCUGAUCUUCCCUCAUUGCAACAGGGAUGCUAUAGGCUGGUAGGACCUGGUGCUCAGGUCUAAGCCCCUCCUAGAAUAAGUUGUGGUUCUGAGCGUUGUCAGCCCUUCUGCAGAUUUCAAUGACCCCUGACAAGGAGCCAGGGUUUGGGACAGACACAAUGACUGCAAAGCUGCCACUACCCAAAGGGGCUUAGAUAUUGAUGGUGCAUGGCACUGCUGCAGUGGCCCUUUCUCUUGAUGCCCUUUUUUUUUUGAGACAGAGUUUCGCUCUGUCGCCCAGGCUGGAGUGCAGUGGCGCGAUCUUGGCUGACUGCAAGCUCCGCCUCCAGGGUUCAUGCCAUUCUCCUGCCUCAGGCCUCCACCUCUCAGGUUCAAGCGAUUCUCCUGCCUCCGCCUCUGCCUCCUGGGUUCAAGCAAACCUCCGUCUCCUGGACCCAAGUGAUUCUCCUGCCUCAGCCUCCCGAGUAGCUGGGACUACAGGUGUGCGCAAUCACACCCAGCUAAUUUUUGUAUUUUUAGUAGAGAUGGGGUUUCACCAUGUUGGCCAGGCUGGUCUCGAACUCCUGACCUCAGGUGAUCUGCGCGCCUCGGCCUCCCAAAAUGCUGGGAUUACAGGCAUGAGACACCAUGCCCGGCCCUCAGUCUCUUUUAAGCAAGGAUCAGGGGAGUAAUCAGAUGGCCCAUAUAGCACUCCUGCUAUUGAAGGAGCGCAGAUGUCGCUCAGAUAGCGACAGGAAGAGAAGUCAGUUUCCCCCUGCAGGUAGGAUCAGUACUUUUCCUAAGUGGCUGCACUUCUUUGAGGUGCAAGCAUACAGUGCUGUCUUUCUGAGAGCCCUGGCGUGACACCAAGGGGAGGCCCCCUUCUGAUGUAAACACUGAGCUUGCUGGGUUGCAUAAGGCCUCUCAGGGGUGAUAUAAACCGAGGGGGUAAAGGUGACCGUGUUGCUCCCAGGAACUGUGUUCAGAAGAUGCACAGGUGCAGCAGGAGGAUUCCUGCCAGAAGCAGGAACAGAGAGGGCAGGGAGAAAAAGGAGGAUGUUGGCCUGGGGGCCAGGCGGGGUGAGGCUUACUGAGGAAGUUGUCCGUGAAGAGCAGUUUGUGUGCUGUCUGACACUGAGAGUCUAGUAAGAAAUUUGGAGAGGUCUCCUAGCUGCAUGAUCCUCCAAGGCAAACCAUGCUGGAUGUUUGUGACAUGUCAUUGGAACACACACCAGAGAAAGGGUGUGCUAGAGCAGAGAGGGAAGACAAGGCACCAAAGGACAAAGGCGAAUCCCAGCAGGACUUUUGAGAGCUUGAGACAGCUCAUGCUCUUUGCAGGUGCUUGGCACCAGGUGUGCCCAAUGACAUGGAAAAGCAUCCAGGACUGUGUAUUAUAGGAUCCCACAUAACUGUCACCCCUAGAUCGCCAGGUCUGCAGGCUCCUCAGCAUCUAACCUAGGGGCAGCAACUAGUGACUGUGAGUCUCCUAGCCCUUUUCUCUGGGGUUAUUGGAGGUCAGAGGUCAGAGCGCCCUAGAUCCUGCCAGAAAGGGGCCCUGGCUCGCAGGAGGUCAGGGUAGGAGAGGUGGGGGUGUGGCCAGCAGGGAUCAACUCUGUCUUAUGUCAUUACUGGUGCACCCAGGUGGCCCAGCACGGCUGCAGCUGCAAGACACGUGCUCUGAUGGGGAGGAGAGACCAAGCAGUGUGGGGCGUGAUUUGCCCUGACCUCUUCCUUUCAGGCAACCUCUGCAGAGGACACUAGUUUACCCCCACAAUGUCCCCUUCCCAUGUGGUAGCUCAGGGUUACCAUACACUGUUUCCUCCAGGGAUCCCUCUAGGGCCUCUCAAGUCUUGGAGCAGGCAUAUCUUCUCUGUGGCCACCCAGGAAGGUGUGGGUCCAUGGGCAUGAGAUGUGAGUCCAGCUGGGCUGUGAAGGUUUCUGAGAUGGGUACUUGGCACCCCAAUUUUCCCAGGUCCUGCACCCCAUACCAUCCCUUCCAGGCAAGCAGAUCUUCCCUCUUUUAACAAAUUUUUCAAAUUGCAAACAGCAUUUAGGACUUUGCGCCUUCCUCAGGUCACCCAUGUGGGCGUAAGGGAGAGUCAGGAUUUGAACUCAGACUGUCUGAUUCCAGAGUUUAUCCAUUGACCACCUGACAGUGGUGAUGCCUCAUCAUGUGUGUCACGUAUUUACAUUUUUAAAUAGUCCUUAGGGUACUUAGCACCAUGGUACACCUGUCAUGAGAGUGUUCACUGCCUGCGUCAGAAGAUGCAGGGUGGAGAGCACCAAUUGUCAGCACAACCAUAUUGGGCAUUUCUCUGCUAAAUGAGUCUUGCACAAACCACACAGCUGUCUGUGAACUAUCUUCUCCCACGUACAGGACAGGAGACCACUUAGGUGCAAGAUACACUCUGUCUUAAGAGCCUUAUGCUCCAAGGACACCAACAUCUCUUGUGACAAUUCCAUAGACCUACUUUUUAGGAUCCUGGCUGAAAUUGGCAAUUUACUGAUAUCAAAUAGUGUACUCUAUCAGGAUGGUAAAUAGUUCCUUAUAUUUAGAACUCUUUUUUUUUUUUUUUUGGACAGAGUUUCACUCUUGUUGCCCAGGCUGGAGUGCAAUAGUGCAAUCUCAGCUCCCUAUAGCCUCCACCUCCCGGGUUCAAGUGAUUAUCCUGCCUCAGCCUCUCAAGUAGCUGGGACUACAGGCAUGCACCACUAUGCCCAGCUAAUUUUCUAUUUUUAGUAGACACGGGGUUUCACCACGUUGGUCAGGCUGGUCUCGAACUCCUGACCUCAGGUGAUCCACCUACCUCGGCUUCCCAAAAGCGUGAGCCACCACACCCGGCCUUUAGAAUGCUUUAAUUUUCUCUCAGAGACUAUGUUGUGGUUGGGGUUGACAAAUUACAGUUCAUGAGCUGAAUUCUUUCCAGUCUGUUUCUGUAGUGCCAAUAACCUUAGAAUGGUGAUAAGAGUUUUCAAAGUUUGUAGAAAAGAGGAAAGGAAAAAAGGAAGAAAAACAGAGGAAAAUAUGCAACAGAGACCAUAUGCAAUCUGCAGAGCCUAUAAUAUUUACUAUCUGGUCCUUUACAGAAAAAUUUGCCUCUUUUGUGAUUUUCAGUGUAUAAGUCUUGUACAGUAUUUACUAAUUUAUCCUUAUGUGUUUUAUAAGUUUUUUGUAUGCUAUCGUAAAUGGUGUCUUUUACAUUUUAGUUUUCAGUAUUCACUACUGGAAAAUACAGUUGAUUUUUAUAUAUUCACCUUGUAUGCUAGAACUUUGCUAAAUUCACUCUUUACUUUUAAUAGUUUCUUUGUAAAUUCCUUAGGAUAUUCUAUGUUGACAGUCAUGUUUUCUAUGAACAAAGAGAGUUUUGCUUCUUCCUUUUUAUCCUGUAUGCCUUUCAUUUUUAUUUCUUACCCUUAUAUUUGCUACAACCUCCAGUAAAAUGUUGAGAAAAAGUAGAGAUGUAGACAUAGUUUGCCAGUCCCUGAUCUUAGGCGAAAAGUAUUCAACACGGAAUUGAGUCAAAGUUUGUGGCAUAUGCACUUAAUCACUCAAAAGACAUAUCCUCUAAUUCCUAGUUUGCUAAAAGAUGUAAGAUUGUGUUAAUUUCUUUGCCCAUUUUGUUAAUUUCUUUUAGUUCCCACAUCUGAGGGAGAACGUGUAGUAUUUAUCUUUCUGUGCCUGACUUAUUUCGCUUAACACAAUGUUCUCCAGGCUCAUCCAUUUGCCACAAAUGACAUGGUUUUAUUUUUUUAACGACUGAAUAGUAUUCCAUUGUGUAUACAUAAUGCAUUUUCUUUAUCCAUUAUCUGUUGGUGGACAUUUAGAUUGAUUCCAUAUCUUAGCUAUUGUGAUAAGUGCUUCAAUAAAG